rnacentral:rRNA from 1 species
UAACAGCUGGAAACGGCUGCUAAUACCGCAUAAGCGCACAGAGCUGCAUGGCUCGGUGUGAAAAACUCCGGUGGUAUGGGAUGGGCCCGCGUCUGAUUAGGCAGUUGGCGGGGUAACGGCCCACCAAACCGACGAUCAGUAGCCGGCCUGAGAGGGCGACCGGCCACAUUGGGACUGAGACACGGCCCAAACUCCUACGGGAGGCAGCAGUGGGGAAUAUUGCACAAUGGGGGAAACCCUGAUGCAGCGACGCCGCGUGAGCGAAGAAGUAUUUCGGUAUGUAAAGCUCUAUCAGCAGGGAAGAUAAUGACGGUACCUGACUAAGAAGCCCCGGCUAACUACGUGCCAGCAGCCGCGGUAAUACGUAGGGGGCAAGCGUUAUCCGGAUUUACUGGGUGUAAAGGGAGCGUAGACGGCAAGGCAAGUCUGAUGUGAAAACCCAGGGCUUAACCCUGGGACUGCAUUGGAAACUGUCUGGCUCGAGUGCCGGAGAGGUAAGCGGAAUUCCUAGUGUAGCGGUGAAAUGCGUAGAUAUUAGGAAGAACACCAGUGGCGAAGGCGGCUUACUGGACGGUAACUGACGUUGAGGCUCGAAAGCGUGGGGAGCAAACAGGAUUAGAUACCCUGGUAGUCCACGCCGU